GAGAAAGCACCUGCCUCCAAUUGAGAGUCCAACCCCCCAUUAACCUACACAUAGAAAUAUACCAACCCAGAAAGAACAUAGAAGUACAAAACAUAGAACAUAAACCAAAACCCGGAAAUAAUAAAUCAAACACCCUACUAAAUAAACCACCAUCCCGAACCACAUAAAACAAAUACCCUCUGCCACGUCCUGACCAAACUACAAUAACAAAUAACCCUUAUACUGGUCAGGACGUGACAAUGCGCUUGUUAAAUCAUCACCCGUUUGUCGUAGUAGGCUAUGAUUCGAUGAGAAAUUAACAGGCACCGCAGUUAACUAGUGAUUAUGUUAAGAUUGAUCAUUUUUUAUAAGAUAAGUUUAAUGCUAGCUAGCAUUUUACCUUGGCUUCUUGCUGCCCUCGCGUAACAGGUAGUCAGCCUGCCAUGCAGGCUCCUCGUGGAGUGCAAUGUAAGGCAGGUGGUUAGAGCGUUGGACUAGUAACCAGAAGGUUGCAAAAACGAAUCCCCAAAUCCCCCCUGAACAAGGCAGUUAACCCCCGUUCCUAGGCCGUCAUUGAAAAUAAGAAUGUGUUCUUAAUCUGACUUGCCUAGUUAAAUAAAGGUGUAAAAAAACAAAUUUGGCAAAUUGGUGGCCAAAAAUACCGAUUACAGAUUGUUAUGAAAACUUGAAAUCGGCCCUAAUUAAUCGGCCAUUCCGAUGAAUCGGUCGAUCUCUAGUUUUUCUCACCCAUCGCCCUUAUGUUCUGUCUGUUUCUGCCUUAAGUGUGUUUAUGUGUCUAUCUCAUUUCCUCUCCCCCCACCUCCCUUUUUUCAUUCUCUUCCUCUCUCCCCUCCUCGCUCCCCCUCUCUCUCGCUCCUGUGCCCCUGAUUGGAGCGGUUGUGCUCCACGCUGCUCUACCCAGACGAGGGUCUGAAGGCCUCAGUCAGGGAGCUGCCCAAUCCCUCCCCCCCAGAGACAGGGUGUGGUGUGUGUGCUGCUGAUGCAGACCCUGGCCCACGCUUGCUCCUCUCAGCUCACCAUCAACUGCCUGGGCUUCCUGAAGCAGCUGCUGAAGCUGGGUCAGCUGGUGUCUCUGCUGAUGAACAGCCCCUGUGAGCAGAUCCGGUCUGAUCUGGAUCAGAGCCUGGACCAGGACCAAGAGGCCCAGUCCAGCACACAGCUCUCCCUGGAGCGCUGCCCACUGCCACUCAUACUCAAAAAGGUUUUCACCAAUCUACCACCAUUUUUUUGUUAAAAUGUGAGAGCUUCUACUGUCUCUACUGCUGCCAUCUUUGACUGAUUGCAUUGAGUGUCUAUAAAACGGCAGUGUUUGAAGACAUUGUCAUGACGACUAGUGUGUGUGUGUGUGUGUGUGUGUGUGUCUCUGGUACGCAGUCUGAAGGAGGCCCUGAGGCUGACUAACGUGGAGGUGCAGAGACAGGGCCUGCUGCUGCUCACAGAGAUACUGGAGAGGUGAGGCAUCAGGUCUGUCUACCUCAUACAUAACAGCAGAGAGGUGAGGCAUCAGGUCUGUCUACCUCGUACAUAACAGCAGAGAGGUGAGGCAUCAGGUCUGUCUACCUCAUACAUAACAGCUGGUCUAUUUGACAUUUUGUGAAUGUAUCGCAAGUUGUCCUUUACGUUCAGUGAAAGUGACAAGACUGAUCUCAGUGCUGACCAAGCACAGAGAAAGGUGUGAGAGAGAGGGGUAAUUUGACCUCAGCAUCUCGUAUUUUUAAAUGUAUUUUUAUUUACAGUUUUUUACAAUCGCUAGGACCCAUUUCUCAAUACUUAGGUCAGUUUUUCAGAACUCUUCACACAAUGAGUACAACAGCAGUCUAUGUGGGCUAAACUGUGGAUCAUUUAUCAUUGCUUCGGCACAAAAUGCAUUCAAUGACUACAUCUUUCAAUUUUCAUGAACUCUUUUCUCACUCAGACACAACCACCACCAAAACUCUAUGUACCUACAGGCCAAUUUGCACAUGUUUACAUACUCUUUUCAAAACAGUUAAACUUAAGUUCAAAACCUAAAAUAACACAAAAUUGAAUAAGACAUUAAUUUGCUACAUUCCUACAGUAAUACCCUAUUGAAAUAUAUUCCAAAUCUAAAAAAUGAAAUACUAUCAAAACAAUUAGACCAACCACAGCUGAUUCCCAUUGUAGCUGAACACCUACCCAUGUGUUAGUCUUUCAAUUACAUUACCAUCUAUACAAAAGGGGAGAUCUUAUGAAUAAUGCUGUACUGUAAUGUAAACAUGGACCCAGACAGAGAGAGAGAAGUGGCUGACAGAGGAAGAAGAGUGUCUGGGAGAGGGAGAGGAGUAGGUACGCGUGGUGGAAGAAGAGUGUCUGGGAGAGGGAGAGGAGUAGGUACGCGUGGUGGAAGAAGACUGGCUGGGAGAGGGAGAGGAGUAGGUACGCGUGGUUGAAGAAGACUGGCUGGGAGAGGGAGAGGAGUAGGUACGCGUGGUGGAAGAAGACUGGCUGGGAGAGGAGUAGGUACGCGUGGUGGAAGAAGACUGGCUGGGAGAGGAGUAGGUACGCGUGGUGGAAGAAGACUGGCUGGGAGAGGGAGAGGAGUAGGUACGCGUGGUGGAAGAAGACUGAGAGGAAGAUCAAGAGCUGUAGUCUCAGAUGAGAUAAUUGAUCAUCUAAUAAAUCAUGGUCUA
rnacentral:lncRNA from 8 species